rnacentral:rRNA from 1 species
UACGGGGGGGGCAAGCGUUGCUCGGAUUGACUGGGCGUAAAGGGCGCGUAGGCGGUUCGUACAGUCAGACGUGAAAUUCCUGGGCUCAACCUGGGGGCUGCGUUUGAUACGUGCGGACUUGAGUGCGGAAGAGGGUCGUGGAAUUCCCAGUGUAGAGGUGAAAUUCGUAGAUAUUGGGAAGAACACCGGUGGCGAAGGCGGCGACCUGGUCCGAUACUGACGCUGAGGCGCGAAAGCGUGGGGAGCAAACAGG